rnacentral:lncRNA from 1 species
GGGAGGCCACUGGGAGGGCGCUGGGGGCCACUGGGAGGGCGCUGGGGGCCACUGGGAGGCGCUGGGGGCCACUGGGAGGGCACUGGGGGCCACUGGGAGGGCGCUGGGGGCCACUGGGAGGGCGCUGGGGGGCCACUGGGAGGGCGCUGGGGGCCACUGGGAGGUGCUGGGGGCUACUGGGAGGGCGCUGGGGGCUACUGGGAGGGCGCUGGGGGCUACUGGGAGGCACUGGGUUGGCAUGUACUGGUGGGUACUGGUGGGCACCGGGGCAUACUGGGGCACGCAGUGCUGCAGGUUAGGGCGUACUGGGAUGGACCGCAGGCAUACUGGUGCGUACCGGGGCCUGUUGGCGUGCUUACUGGUGCAUACUGGUGGGUACUGGUGCGCGUGCUCGUUCACGGCGGGGAGGUGGAGCAUGCUAUUUUGUACUGGUUUGUACUGGUAUGCGGUUAGGGGCACGUUGGUUCAUAGUGGUGCAUAUUGGGAUGUACGUUGGGGUGCGCGGUGCCACGUAUACUGGUCCAUACUGGUUUAUACUGGGCAGAGAUGUGGAUGCAUGUUGGGGUGUAUACUGGUCCUUACUGGGGAGAGAGGUAGGAGCCUGCAAAGCGUGGUGCGUGCUGGGCCGCGCACUGGUUCCUGCUGGUUCAUACUGGGAAGAGACGCAGGGCUGCACACUGGUUCUUACUGGUCUAUACUGGUGCAUACUGGGCAGAGAAGCGAGCGCAAUGUGGCUUCACGCUGUGGGGACGCAUCUGUGCUGGCCUGUAUAGAUCUAAAGAAACCCAAACUGGUCCAUACUGGUCUGUACUGGUGUAUAGCGGUUCUUAGGGGUGCAUACUGGUGUAUAGUGGUUCUUACGGGUGCAUACUGGUCUAUACUGGUCCAUACUGGGCAGAGAACUGAGCGCAAACAAUAGGCCCGCGAGUGCGUCAACUGCGGGGCGACGGCGACGCCGCUGUGGCGGCGGGACGGGACGGGGCACUACCUGUGCAACGCCUGCGGGCUGUACCACCGCCUCAACGGGCACAACCGGCCCCUCAUCCGCCCCAAGAAGCGCCUCGUGAGCCCCCCUAAUCCCCGCUAAUCCCCCCUAAUCCCACCCCCAGUCCCCCGGAAUCCCC